AGUGAACGCUGGCGGUAGGCCUAACACAUGCAAGUCGAACGGCAGCACAGUAAGAGCUUGCUCUUACGGGUGGCGAGUGGCGGACGGGUGAGGAAUACAUCGGAAUCUACUUUUUCGUGGGGGAUAACGUAGGGAAACUUACGCUAAUACCGCAUACGACCUACGGGUGAAAGCAGGGGAUCUUCGGACCUUGCGCGAUUGAAUGAGCCGAUGUCGGAUUAGCUAGUUGGCGGGGUAAAGGCCCACCAAGGCGACGAUCCGUAGCUGGUCUGAGAGGAUGAUCACCCACACUGGAACUGAGACAAGGUCCAGACUCCUACGGGAGGCAGCAGUGGGGAAUAUUGGACAAUGGGCGCAAGCCUGAUCCAGCCAUACCGCGUGGGUGAAGAAGGCCUUCGGGUUGUAAAGCCCUUUUGUUGGGAAAGAAAAGCAGCAGGUUAAUACCCCGCUGUUCUGACGGUACCCAAAGAAUAAGCACCGGCUAACUUCGUG
rnacentral:rRNA from 1 species